rnacentral:rRNA from 1 species
GAUCCACCUGAUCCAUUCCCGAACUCAGAAGUGAAACGUCUUAGCGCUGAUGGUAGUGUGGGAUUACCCUUGUGAGAGUUAGUCAUCGCCUGCU